rnacentral:rRNA from 1 species
UACGUAGGGAGCAAGCGUUGUCCGGAAUCAUUGGGCGUAAAGCGCGCGUAGGUGGCCCCAUAAGUCCGCUGUGAAAGUCAAAGGCUCAACCUUUGAAAGCCGGUGGAUACUGUCGGGCUAGAGUGCGGGAGAGGCGAGUGGAAUUCCUGGUGUAGCGGUGAAAUGCGCAGAUAUCAGGAGGAACACCAAUUGCGAAGGCAGCUCGCUGGAACGUUACUGACGCUGAGACGCGAAAGCGUGGGGAGCAAACAGG